GACGAACGCUGGCGGCGUGCUUAACACAUGCAAGUGGAGCGACGAACCGGGCUUCGGCCCGGGGCAAAGCCGCGAACGGGUGAGUAACACGUGGGUAACCUGCCCCGAUGAUUGGGACAACCUCGGGAAACCGAGGCUAAUACCAAAUGUGCCCACACUCCUCGAGGAGGGUGAGGAAAGGAAGCUUCGGCCUCCGCAUCGGGACGGUCCCGCGGUGCAUUAGCUCGUUGGUGGGGUAAUGGCCUACCAAGGCUUCGAUGCGUAGCUGGUCUGAGAGGACGAUCAGCCACACUGGGACUGAGACACGGCCCAGACUCCUACGGGAGGCAGCAGUGGGGAAUCUUGCGCAAUGCGCGAAAGCGUGACGCAGCAACGCCGCGUGCGGGAAGACGGCCUUCGGGUUGUAAACCGCUUUCAGUUGGGACGAAGCUUCGCCGGUGAAUAGCCGGCCGGAGUGACGGUACCUUCAGAAGAAGCCCCGGCUAACUACGUGCCAGCCGCCGCGGUAA
rnacentral:rRNA from 1 species